UACGUAGGGGGCAAGCGUUGUCCGGAAUUAUUGGGCGUAAAGCGCGCGCAGGCGGUCAUUUAAGUCUGGUGUUUAAGCCCGGGGCUCAACCCCGGUUCGCAUCGGAAACUGGAUGACUUGAGUGUAGGAGAGGAAAGUGGAAUUCCACGUGUAGCGGUGAAAUGCGUAGAGAUCUGGAAGAACACCAAAGGCGAAGGCAGCAUCCUGGGAAGUUCCUGACGCUCGGGUGCGAAAGCCAGGGGAGCGAACGGG
rnacentral:rRNA from 1 species